AGAGUUUGAUCAUGGCUCAGGACGAACGCUGGCGGCGUGCUUAACACAUGCAAGUCGAACGCUGAAGCCCAGCUUGCUGGGUGGAUGAGUGGCGAACGGGUGAGUAACACGUGGGUAAUCUGCCCCGUACUCCGGGAUAAGCCCGGGAAACUGGGUCUAAUACCGGAUAGGACACGCUAUCGCAUGGUGGUGUGUGGAAAGCUCCGGCGGUACGGGAUGAGCCCGCGGCCUAUCAGCUUGUUGGUGGGGUGAUGGCCUACCAAGGCGACGACGGGUAGCCGGCCUGAGAGGGUGACCGGCCACACUGGGACUGAGACACGGCCCAGACUCCUACGGGAGGCAGCAGUGGGGAAUAUUGCACAAUGGGCGAAAGCCUGAUGCAGCAACGCCGCGUGAGGGAUGACGGCCUUCGGGUUGUAAACCUCUUUUAGCAAGGAAGAAGCGAAAGUGACGGUACUUGCAGAAAAAGCGCCGGCUAACUACGUGCCAGCAGCCGCGGUAAUACGUAGGGCGCAAGCGUUAUCCGGAAUUAUUGGGCGUAAAGAGCUCGUAGGCGGUUUGUCGCGUCUGCUGUGAAAACUGGAGGCUCAACCUCCAGCCUGCAGUGGGUACGGGCAGACUAGAGUGCGGUAGGGGAGAUUGGAAUUCCUGGUGUAGCGGUGGAAUGCGCAGAUAUCAGGAGGAACACCGAUGGCGAAGGCAGAUCUCUGGGCCGUAACUGACGCUGAGGAGCGAAAGGGUGGGGAGCAAACAGGCUUAGAUACCCUGGUAGUCCACCCC
rnacentral:rRNA from 1 species